CGUCCUGGUCGACGGUCAGCCAAUCACCGCCACCAGGCAGAAAUUCUCCGCGCAGCCGAGGCCCCCUUACCUGCCCCGACUUGAUGAUGUAGUUCUGCCGGAACGCGCGCGACGUCAGGAAAGUCUGNNNNNNNNGAUGGAGAAGUCGCAAAUAUGCUCGACUUCGACCUUCUCAAGCAUCGGCACAUCAACGAGAAGGCAGGACUCCAUUUUGACAGCAGCAGUCAUCGAUCAGUUCUCCAGUUUAUUUGAG
rnacentral:misc_RNA from 1 species